CCUACGGUGGCUGCAGUGGGGAAUAUUGGACAAUGGGCGAAAGCCUGAUCCAGCCAUGCCGCGUGUGUGAAGAAGGCCUUCGGGUUGUAAAGCACUUUCAGUGGGGAAGAAAGCCUUGGGGCUAAUACCCUCGAGGAAGGACAUCACCCACAGAAGAAGCACCGGCUAACUCCGUGCCAGCAGCCGCGGUAAUACGGAGGGUGCGAGCGUUAAUCGGAAUUACUGGGCGUAAAGCGCGCGUAGGCGGUCUGAUAAGCCGGUUGUGAAAGCCCCGGGCUCAACCUGGGAACGGCAUCCGGAACUGUCAGGCUAGAGUGCAGGAGAGGAAGGUAGAAUUCCCGGUGUAGCAGUGAAAUGCGUAGAGAUCGGGAGGAAUACCAGUGGCGAAGGCGGCCUUCUGGACUGACACUGACGCUGAGGUGCGAAAGCGUGGGUAGCAAACAGGAUUGGAUACCCCAGUAGUC
rnacentral:rRNA from 1 species